CCCCUUCCCGGGGACGCCGAAAGCUGAGGCUGGGCGCGGGGACCCGCCGUUGUUUCGCGGGGCUGGGAGGCCCCAUGGCGCCGCCCCCAGCCCUGCUCCUGGCGCCGAGACCUGGGCACAGCGGGCCUGGUUGCCACAAGCCCGUGGCCCUCAGGUUCGCGGACGUGGCCGUGUACUUCUCCCCCGAGGAGUGGGGGUGCCUGCGACCCGCGCAGAGAGCCCUGUACCGGGACGUGAUGCGGGAGACCUACGGCCACCUGGGCGCGCUCGGAUUCCCAGGCCCCAAACCAGCCCUCAUCUCUUGGAUGGAACAGGAGAAUGAGGCUUGGAGCCCCGCCGCCCAGGAUCCUGAGGAGGGGGAGAGCCGGGGAGUUGCUCGGAGAGGAGAAACCACAAACAAGAAGGAAGUGGAACUCCGAGAAGCAUCAGGAGCCAAAGGAUCCAGAAAGAACCCUGGGAAGGAGCCCGUGGAAGAAACGAUUAAACAUAGCGCUGCCUCGACUGUCAGCAAGGCCCAGACUGGCUCCCAAGCACCGCGGAGAGCGACUUGGGACCAGGGCGCCGACGCCCUGCCGGGGUCGGGGCCGGGGGAUGCUCAGCGGCGCCACGUGUGUGCGGACUGUGGCCGCCGCUUCACCUACCCGUCGCUGCUGGUCAGCCACCGGCGCAUGCACUCAGGUGAGCGGCCCUUCCCCUGCCCCGAGUGCGGCAUGCGCUUCAAGAGGAAGUUCGCCGUGGAGGCCCACCAGUGGAUCCACCGCUCCUGCUCCGGGGGCCGCCGUGGGCGGCGGCCAGGCAUCCGGGCCGUGCCCGGGGCCCCGGUGCGGAGCGACCAGGACCCGCCUGUGCUGUUCCGCCACUACCCUGAUAUCUUCGAGGAGUGUGGGUGAGCCAGGUCGUGACCGGGCUGGGCCGGAGCUGGGCAGCUGCUCCCGGACUUGGGAACUGAAACUCAUCCCCUGGGCUUCCUGCAGGGAUCCUUCAAGUUUCCAGACUUGUUAAAAGAAAAGUGCCUGUAAAGAUGGGAGAUUAGGCUUGGGGACCAGAGUGAUAGUACAGGGGGCAAGGUAGGGCGUUUGCCUUGGAUGCCGCUGAUUAGGGUUCCAUCCCCGGCAUCCUAUAUGUCCCCUGAG